rnacentral:lncRNA from 1 species
UUUGUUUCUUUUUUACCGCUACUUCUAUCACUUGGCGUAUUCCGGAAUGCGACGUCGUUGUGUUUCAUUGUGGCCGUGCAUGCGGAUAUAGCCAUGGAGUUAUAAUGUAUGCUAAAGCUUGCGAAGACUUGACAGUUUGAAGUAACUUGAAUGAACAUCAUGUCUUACCACGCCUUUCAUUCUAGUGAGGAGGAGUACAAUUCAUCGAAGAGAAUGACGAAAUAACUGUGGCGUCCGUUCCUCUGUUGUGGUUCGUCGUGAGUAUGAAACAACGGCGUGUGGCCAAGCAAAAUGUCUGGGGCUGACAUCUUGUCCCGUGCACCAGACCCUGACUGACCUUCAUUCAGAGCAUCAAGUUUGCAAAAAUGCACCUUCGACGCUCAGCUGCUAAGGUCGUGAUCGACCUGCACAUCCAGAAUGGGCACCUACAGCAGCAGAACAACUGCAAGUCCGUUGGGCAGGUGCUCAGGCACGUGGUGUCUUUCAAGCACCAGGAGAGCAGGCGAGGCCCAGGGAACAGGCGGGCCCAGGGAACAGGCGGCACCCCAGGAACUGGCCAGGCCUGAACCACGCGAGCUGUUCCUGAUGCCUCUCAGCAACAUGGAACAGUUUUGUGCUGCAGAAGCACAGCUGAAGAACUUCACCAACAGGACACUGCCGGAGGAGCAGCUUGUGUCUCUAGGAGACAGCAAGAACCUGC